rnacentral:rRNA from 1 species
GACGAACGCUGGCGGCGUGCUUAACACAUGCAAGUCGAACGGAAAGGCCCUGCUUUUGUGGGGUACUCGAGUGGCGCACGGGUGAAUAACACGUGUGUCACCUGCCCUUGACUUUGGGAAAACUUCAGGAAACUGGGGCUAAUAGGGGAUAUGACCUCCUGGUGCGAGGGGGGGGGUGGAAGGUUUAGGCGGUUUGGGAUGGGCUCGGGGCUUAGCUGCUUGUCGGUGGGGUAGUGGGUUAGCAAGGCGCUGACGGGUAGCCGGCCGGCGAGAGUGACCGGCCACAUGGGGACUUGGCUGCGGCCCAGCAGCCUACGGGAGGCAGCCGCGGUGAAUCUUGCACAAUGGGCGGAACCCUGAUGAAGCAACGCCGCGUGUGGGAUGUUAGCCUCCGGGUGGUAACCCGCUUUCGCCCGGGUCGAAAGGGUAGUGACGGUAAUGGGUAAAGAAGCACCGGCUAACUACGUG